AGAGUUUGAUCAUGGCUCAGGAUUAACGCUGGCGGCGUGCAUGAAGCAUGCAAGUCGAGCGCGGUGUGAUGCGGGGUAACCCAAUUCACAUCUAGCGGCGAACGGGUGAGUAACACGUGAGCAACCUACCUUUGAGUUGGGGAUAGCCCUGGGAAACCAGGAUUAAUACCCGAUGUGGUCACAACAGGACAUCCUGAUGUGAGUAAAGGCGCAAGCCGCUCAAUGACGGGCUCGCGGCCUAUUAGCUUGUUGGUGGGGUAAUGGCCUACCAAGGCGAUGAUGGGUAGCUGGUCUGAGAGGACGAUCAGCCACACUGGGACUGAGACACGGCCCAGACUCCUACGGGAGGCAGCAGUUAGGAAUUUUCCGCAAUGGGCGAAAGCCUGACGGAGCAACGCCGCGUGAGCGAUGAAGACCUUCGGGUUGUAAAGCUCUGUCGGAGGGGAAGAACACAAUGACGGUACCCUCCAAGAAAGCCCCGGCUAACUACGUGCCAGCAGCCGCGGUAAUAC
rnacentral:rRNA from 1 species